UACGGAGGAUCCGAGCGUUAUCCGGAUUUAUUGGGUUUAAAGGGUCCGUAGGCGGUUUAGUAAGUCAGUGGUGAAAGCCCAUCGCUCAACGGUGGAACGGCCAUUGAUACUGCUAGACUUGAAUUAUUAGGAAGUAACUAGAAUAUGUAGUGUAGCGGUGAAAUGCUUAGAGAUUACAUGGAAUACCAAUUGCGAAGGCAGGUUACUACUAAUGGAUUGACGCUGAUGGACGAAAGCGUGGGUAGCGAACAGG
rnacentral:rRNA from 1 species